rnacentral:lncRNA from 1 species
AUGAGGUUGCAGUGAGCCAAGAUCACACCACUGUACUCCAGCCUGGGCGACAGAGUGAGACACCAUCUCACAAAAACACAUAAACAAACAAACAGAAACUCCACACAAUGACAACGACAUUGGUGUGUCAUUUCUAUACCAUCUGGCUACGAGAGGAGCCGACUGAAAGUCACACUGCCGGAGGAGGGGAGAGGUGCUCUUCCGUUUCUGGUGUCUGUAGCCAUCUCCAGUGGUAGCUGCAGUGAUAAUAAUGCUGCGGUGCCGACAGUUCUGGAAGGAGCAACAACAGUGAUUUCAGCAGCAGCAGUAUUGCGGGAUCCCCACGAUGGAGCAAGGGAAAUAAUUCUGGAAGCAAUGACAAUAUCAGCUGUGGCUAUAGCAGCUGAGAUGUGAGUUCUCACGGUGGCAGCUUCAAGGACAGUAGUGAUGGUCCAAUGGCGCCCAGACCUAGAAAUGCACAUUUCCUCAGCACCGGCUCCAGAUGCUGAGCUUGGACAGCUGACGCCUUGGAUCAUCUGCCACUGAUCUCUGGUCAACAUUUUUAUCACCCAACACAAAAGAAGCAGAGAUUUAUCAAGUUACUUAAACAACCUGACCCUUUCAUCUUUUGCUACACAUACUCUUGUAAUUGAUCUCUCCAUGAAUUGUUUUCUGUUUAAAAUAUCUAGAAUGUUUUCUGCUUCCUGACUUGAUUCUAAUAUUGUAUAGGUACUAGAAAUGGUUCUAGAAAUAGAUCUUUAUAGAUGAGAAUCUGGAAGUGGUUUGCUGACCUGUUUCAGUCUGAAUGAAUUCCUGACCUUCUUGUCGGGAGGAGACAGAAACCUGAUCAUCUGUAGUGUACGGUGGUAUCAUGAUUACUUAAAUC